AGUGAACGCUGGCGGUAGGCCUAACACAUGCCAGUCGAACGGCAGCACAGUAAGAGCUUGCUCUUACGGGUGGCGAGUGGCGGACGGGUGAGGAAUACAUCGGAAUCUACUUUUUCGUGGGGGAUAACGUAGGGAAACUUACGCUAAUACCGCAUACGACCUACGGGUGAAAGCAGGGGAUCUUCGGACCUUGCGCGAUUGAAUGAGCCGAUGUCGGAUUAGCUAGUUGGCGGGGUAAAGGCCCACCAAGGCGACGAUCCGUAGCUGGUCUGAGAGGAUGAUCAGCCACACUGGAACUGAGACACGGUCCAGACUCCUACGGGAGGCAGCAGUGGGGAAUAUUGGACAAUGGGCGCAAGCCUGAUCCAGCCAUACCGCGUGGGUAAAGAAGGCCUUCGGGUUGUAAAGCCCUUUUGUUGGGAAAGAAAAGCAGCAGGUUAAUACCCCGCUGUUCUGACGGUACCCAAAGAAUAAGCACCGGCUAACUUCGUG
rnacentral:rRNA from 1 species